AACUUAUACAAGGAAGAGUUUGAUCCUGGCUCAGGAUGAACGCUAGCGAUAGGCUUAACACAUGCAAGUCGAGGGGCAGCACGGAAUAGCAAUAUUUUGGUGGCGACCGGCGCACGGGUGAGUAACACGUAUGCAACCUACCCAUGACAGUGGAAUAACCCGUCGAAAGGCGGACUAAUACCGCAUAAUAACGAGAUACCGCAUGG
rnacentral:rRNA from 1 species